GCAGAGUGAGGUGCGUGGAGGAGCAAGAUUCCUUACCCACAGGUCAAUGUGAAAAAUCUAUCUUGAAGAUAACAAAAGCAUGGCCCCAAGGAAGAGGAAGGAAGAAAAAACAAGCCUUUAGAGGAGAGAGCCAUCCCACUCCUCCACAGAGAUGGAAAGUCAAAGGGAAGAGUCCAGCUGGAGUAUAUUUGAAAAUGACUGAUGUAAAAUCCAGAGGCAUGAAUACCACUUUUGAAAGAAAGAAAC